CACGUAGUUAGCCGUGGCUUUCUGAUUAGGUACCGUCAAGACGUGCACAGUUACUUACACAUUUGUUCUUCCCUAAUAACAGAGUUUUACGAUCCAAAGACCUUCAUCACUCACGCGGCGUUGCUCCGUCAGGCUUUCGCCCAUUGCGGAAGAUUCCCUACUGCUGCCUCCCGUAGGAGUCUGGACCGUGUCUCAGUUCCAGUGUGGCCGAUCACCCUCUCAGGUCGGCUACGUAUCGUUGCCUUGGUAAGCCAUUACCCCACCAACUAGCUAAUACGGCGCGGGUCCAUCUAUAAGUGAUAGCAAAACCAUCUUUCACUUUAGAACCAUGCGGUUCUAAAUAUUAUCCGGCAUUAGCCCCGGUUUCCCGGAGUUAUUCCAGUCUUAUAGGUAGGUUACCCACGUGUUACUCACCCGUCCGCCGCUAACGUCAAAGGAGCAAGCUCCUUAUCUGUUCGCUCGACUUGCAUGUAUUAGGCACGCCGCCAGCGUUCAUCCUGAGCCAGGAUCAAACUCU
rnacentral:rRNA from 1 species